GGGGCGGGGCGGUGCUUACACAUGCAAGUCGAGCGGUAAGGCCCUUUCGGGGGUACACGAGCGGCGAACGGGUGAGUAACACGUGGGUGAUCUGCCCUGCACUUCGGGAUAAGCCUGGGAAACUGGGUCUAAUACCGGAUAUGACCAAAGGCUGCAUGGCUUUUGGUGGAAAGGUUUACUGGUGCAGGAUGGGCCCGCGGCCUAUCAGCUUGUUGGUGGGGUAAUGGCCUACCAAGGCGACGACGGGUAGCCGACCUGAGAGGGUGACCGGCCACACUGGGACUGAGACACGGCCCAGACUCCUACGGGAGGCAGCAGUGGGGAAUAUUGCACAAUGGGCGAAAGCCUGAUGCAGCGACGCCGCGUGAGGGAUGACGGCCUUCGGGUUGUAAACCUCUUUCAGCAGGGACGAAGCGAAAGUGACGGUACCUGCAGAAGAAGCACCGGCCAACUACGUGCCAGCAGCCGCGGUAAUACGUAGGGUGCGAGCGUUGUCCGGAAUUACUGGGCGUAAAGAGCUCGUAGGCGGUUUGUCGCGUCGUCUGUGAAAACCAGCAGCUCAACUGCUGGCUUGCAGGCGAUACGGGCAGACUUGAGUACUGCAGGGGAGACUGGAAUUCCUGGUGUAGCGGUGAAAUGCGCAGAUAUCAGGAGGAACACCGGUGGCGAAGGCGGGUCUCUGGGCAGUAACUGACGCUGAGGAGCGAAAGCGUGGGUAGCGAACAGGAUUAGAUACCCUGGUAGUCCACGCCGUAAACGGUGGGCGCUAGGUGUGGGUUUCCUUCCACGGGAUCCGUGCCGUAGCUAACGCAUUAAGCGCCCCGCCUGGGGAGUACGGCCGCAAGGCUAAAACUCAAAGGAAUUGACGGGGGCCCGCACAAGCGGCGGAGCAUGUGGAUUAAUUCGAUGCAACGCGAGAACCCUAACUUGGGUUGACAUAUACCGGAAGCCGUAGAGAUACGCCCCCCUUGUGGUCGGUAUACAGUGGAUGCAUGGCAGUCGUCCG
rnacentral:rRNA from 1 species